CAAAGUCACUGUCAGAUGGAACCAGUAAACAGACAGCUUGUGAAUAUCUUGGUUGCUGACAUGGUGGAGGUGCAUGGAUGGAUCCCUUCCCAAGCUGUUUGAGUGAAGUAUGCCCAAGGCAUUGUGGCCUUGUUGCCAUAUCUUAAGGACCCAUUGUCGAAGCAUGGAUAUGAACACUUUUAUGAUGCAGCAUCAGGCUCUGGGUACAUUGCAUGGCGUCUUAAGACUGUACAACAAAGCCUAU